CACCCAGGGAGUAAUUAAGUACGGCAUAUGCAUUAAUUGUAAUAUUUCAUAUAUGCACGCAUGACAGGCCUGCGAUGUGAUUUGCAAUCACACAGUUAUGGUACAGUGCAUAUAUUUAUAUAUAUAAAGAAUGCGUACAAUCACCUUUUAAGUAUACGGUGAUUAGUAACCAUAAUAGUAUAUAUGCAAAAAUUGUCUUGGCAAGAGGGUAAAUAAUUAUAUAAUAUGUUUAAAUUUUGGACUGAUUUUAGUCAAAAGGCAGGCAACAAGUACAUGUCACCUUUUUUAUUGACAAUCAAUACCAUGAUAUAUUAUAGUAGCAAAUUGUACAUAAUAGAUAUACAUGAGCUGACUGCAGUGAUUACAAAAUAAAGUCUAAAAGAAACGAGUAGAUUUUUGAGAUCUUCAAACCCUUUCUUCUUUCAUGACACAAUUUUGUAUUUUUCUAAAGGCGGCCAUAGGAACGUAACAUAAAUAUCAAACCAUAAAUCUAUAAAUACCAACUAGGGUCCUAUUAUUGUUUUAAAUUUGAUCCGCAAUGCCAAGGCUGAGAUACACACACGCCAACACGGUAUUCUAAGGACAAAAAACCAAACAACCAGGUUGACAUCGUUGGGAGUCGAGAGUACGAAUCACCAUUGCCGAGAACGUAUCAGCCGGGACAGAUAUUGGGAGGACAAUCCUCCACGCAUCGACCAUGAGAAAAAAAAUCCAAAACCAAUCUGGCAAAUAAAGAUCUGAAGGACCAUACUUAAGACAAAUUUAAUCUUCCAGCACCACCAUUGACAUCGGGAAGAAGAUCUUGUCGUCGAACAAAGGAACGAAGAUUAUUUAUUAUAGACGAUGCCAUCUCCAAAUAAGAAGACGACUACCGAAACCCCAAACCAAUGUACUAAAAAUACUUCUAUUGUUAAGAAUUUCACUCAUAGAUCGGGUUCCCCACCCCUCCUAACACCGGCAAGGCCGGACGGAGGAGGUGGAACCGAUCUAUGGUGGAAGCGGAGGUGGUGGUGGCGGCUAGGUCUUUGGGGGGAUGAGGCGGCGUAAAAGCAGCUAGGGUAGGGGCCCUGGUAACAAUGCUAAGCUUGCCCAUCUGGUUUUACACAUGGAAGAUGGCUGGAUGAAUGGCGAGUUGUUCUGGACCAUCCAAUACAAUAAGCUACGCGGGAUGGGCGAUCGCUCGUUGUGUCCACGUCGGCAGCGCUACGAGACAAAUAAAAUCGUGGAUUAGGAAAAAAGCGUGGCCGAUUAAGCCUGUUGCGCGUCCCUACACAAAAAUAUCCCCGAAUCGCUUGCAUUGCAAGCUCAGCCUUCGUCUCCUCUGUUUCCCAAUUCUUCUGCGGCCACUGACCCCUCAACCCUGCCGCCUCCUCUGCUAUCCUUCCGUCACACCCCAUGCCCGUCCUCGUCUCUUUCCAUCCGCUCCGCUACCCUGUGCCGUCGGCCUCCCUCUCAGACGCUCAACCCGACAAACGCGACUGAGAGCAAGAUCUGGGCCACCGCGCCUCGUCAUCGCCUUCAUCUUCCGCUGUGCGCCUCAACGUUGGCUACAGGGACAAAGGCCUUGCUGGCUCACACACAAUAGGUAAGCGGCCAGCUGUGGAGGUGCAACAGCGGCCGACGGCGGUCGACCAGAUCGGCGCGUCACGUGGCGGACACAAAGGCUGUCACAUGUAGAGCAGUGAAAGGACGGCUUGGGGGUCGUGUGAGGUCUGGAGAACCGGUGGUUGGUGCUGCGCGAUCUGGAUGGGCGCGACCUGCGUCAGUUGGAGGCAAGGUGAAGACGUUGCCACGACGCCGUCGUAGAUCCUCAUUGUGCCUCCGGGAAAGGAUCUCUUCGAGGAUCCCCUCUUGUCCACGGGUCCGCGACCGAGGUGCUCGUAAAUUUCAUAUUCCAUUCCACUCCUGGAAACAUGUACCUUUUCAUUUGAUGGAGUUCUGUUCUUAUGUAAUUUUAAGUCAUAUAGGGAGGACUCGAUUUAAAGGAAAGAAUUGCAAGGAGUUGUUUUUUAGGAUGUUCCCGAGGCACUAAAGAACUCGCACUAUCACUGUAUGAAGGUAUGUAUAUAUUUGAUCAAACUCUUCUGAAAUGUGAAUGCUUUUGAGGCAUCAAACUAGAUUGUCGUUGGAUGUGUUUGUUCUUCUUACUGCGUAAAUGAGUGAUUUAGGUCAGAAAGUUGACUGCUGAGCUAGAGUGUCAAGGACUAUACCAUGACAGAACUCUAAAUCAUUCAGAAAAAACAGUGUACUUCUGCAACAUGGCCAACCAUUGAGAUAGUCAUGAAACAUCCAGUUGCUCUAUGGUUUGUCUGUUAUAAUUUCAUAUGCAGAAGGACUGAUGCACGUAAGCACUGUCGGUUUGAAUGUAGCAGAAUGAUGCUACAGAAUGCUUGGUUCUUCACCAUACUAAGAAAUCAAAUUGUUUUUCGGCUGGUAGGUUGUCAAAAGUCGUAAAUGUAGUGAAGCAUAGAGUAUUAGUUGAACAUGGUAGAUGUAACGGAGCUCUAUUAUACUUAAAAGAGAAUAAUAAAAAAUGUGAGGAGAUCAAGAAGUUGAUAGUUGAGCUGGACUGUUUGAGGAAUUGGGUUCAGGAGCUCAAAGCCAACAACAACCGGGGCUUCAAAAAAUAUGUAAGCUCUCCUGUAGAUUGGUUGCAUGUUCUUUAAUUAGCUAUCGUUGUAGUCAUUUAUCAUUUUCUUGUCCAUAUGUUUGUCACUAAUAUUAGUAUACGGAAGGAUUUCCUGUACAUGAUGUUUGUUUGAGAAAAAACCUUUAGUUAUGGUUUCUCCAUGUGAACUAUUCUGACGGAAAUAUGUCAAUCAGGUACUCCACUAUUAUGCAGCUCUAAAAGUAAUUAUUUGUCUUUAGAGACUACUUUGUGUCGAUUCAGUUAUAUCUUUAUUCACCUUUUUCAACUAGGCUGAUCCAUACUCUUAUGGAACUAAUUUUGGUGUGCCAUAGGUAAUAGGUGGUGAAAUCUCUUCCCUCGAACUGAUGAAAAUAUUUCCCUUUUUUCCUUGCAGCCUUACUAAUUAGUUUUGCAACUCUGCUCCUACAGUAUACAUUUAACCAGUGAUGGAUGUGGAUACACAUCUGACAUAUGUUUCUGUUGUACCAGUGUUUCCUGUUAAGAAGCUUAUGCCAUAUGAUGGCAGUAUUAACCCCUUCAUGAAAAUGUGUUUAAAAGAAGCACUUGCCUUUGGAAUUAAAGAAGAUCGGUUUAUGACACGGACCAGAGAUCAUACAAAGGGGUGAGGACCCAACCAAGAGACUGUUGAUGAGAUCAAUGACACCAUAUGGAUGGACAGGCAGAAGCGGAGCAUCUCACGAAGCAGCCAACGAACAAGAGGAGCAAAGACAUCAUCUCUUGCAUCGCCGUAAACAUCCGCUGCUAGCAGUGUUUCAGCCGGUGAACAGGAGCAAAGACAACAACUGUUGUGUCCUCAUAAACUUACACUACUGACCGAGCUUCAACCUGCUAGCCCCUCAUGACUACAAUUGGUUCUAUGGCAGAUUGGUUUUACAACUUUCUGUUGUGCAGGAGCAAAGACAACAACUGCCUUGUCGUCGUAUACUUCCACUACUGGACGAGCUUCAACCUGCUAGCCCCUCAUGUCUACAAUUGGUUCUAUGUCAGAUUGGUUUUACAACUUCCUAUUGUUAUUCGUAUGAUAUAGUGUUUAAUCUGGUUAGAAAUAAUCCAAUGCCCAAGGGGAUCAAGGUCUCUGAAAUAUUGUUAUUUGUUCAAAGUUGUUUGCUUGCUA